rnacentral:rRNA from 1 species
GACGAACGCUGGCGGCGUGCCUAAUACAUGCAAGUUGAGCGAUGAAGAUUGGUGCUUGCCCCAAUUUGAAGAGCAGCGAACGGGUGAGUAACGCGUGGGGAAUCUGCCUUUGAGCAGGGGACAACAUUUGGAAACGAAUGCUAAUACCGCAUAACAACUUUAAACAUAAGUUUUAAGUUUGAAAGAUGCAAUUGCAUCACUCAAAGAUGAUCCCGCGUUGUAUUAGCUAGUUGGUGAGGUAAAGGCUCACCAAGGCGAUGAUACAUAGCCGACCUGAGAGGGUGAUCGGCCACAUUGGGACUGAGACACGGCCCAAACUCCUACGGGAGGCAGCAGUAGGGAAUCUUCGGCAAUGGACGAAAGUCUGACCGAGCAACGCCGCGUGAGUGAAGAAGGUUGUCGGAUCGUAAAACUCUGUUGGUAGAGAAGAACGUUGGUGAGAGUGGAAAGCUCAUCAAGUGACGGUAACUACCCAGAAAGGGACGGCUAACUACGUG